GGUGGUGGCCUAGUGGUAAGGUCACCAAAUGAUCACCCCCUGGGGAUGUGGGUUCGAAUCCCACCACCACCG
rnacentral:tRNA from 1 species